UUCUGUCAAAUAAUCCAAGUUUAAAUUCAAGUUGAUCCUAAGUUGGAACUCGAAUCCAGGGAUUCUGCUUCAUUCAGUUGAAGGAGGAGACAAAGAAGGGAAGAAAUGUUCCCUCGGCCAGCGGGGCUUCUCCGCUGCCUCCAAAAUGAGGGGAAAAAUGAAGCCAAAGUCCGAGGGUAUGAGGAUGUUGUUCCUGCCCGGAUGAGGUCCUCCCUGAUCGAUGAAUACAGUUGUGCUCGAUGCGCAUCAGCGCACCUCGGCAUGACGUCACACAACUUCUACAUCAAAGUGACUGAGCAACACGACAGGAGUUAUCGUGCCGUACAGCCUCUUGCUCCUCCGUCCCACUCUGCUGUGUACCUUCACACAAAACAGUGCGACACAACUGUGUUGAAGGAUGAUUUCAAGAUCCUUCCAUUACAAAAUUCAGAGAUGUGGCAGCUUCUGAUUCGAGGAAUCAGAAGCUGUUGCGGAUCUAAAUUCUGAUCAAGUUGCUUCUAUCGCUUGGGAUGUUUUGAAUUAAGGAUUUAGGGAAUAAUACCAUCAUAUUUUUAGACGGAAACCGAGCCUUGA